GUGGUGAGUGGACAGAGGGAGGGACACAAGCUCUCUCUCUUAUUAUGCUUUUCUUUGGUGCACAGUAACCUCUCCAGCUGCAAAGUUAAUGACGUCUAGUGCGAUGCUUUUUCUAAAGCAUAAUCAGUUCCCACAGUCACAGAAUUAGAGGGAAAGAAAGGAAGAAAAAAGAAGAUAGAUGGGUUUGGCAGAAGAGAACUAUGAUCCAGUUCUUCGCCAUGGGAAAACAGCCAGCAAAAGUGCCAUUGAUUAAGAACCCACUUUGUGUUGUGAUGAGCACCGGGUGUCCUAAGUGCUUACAUGUGGGGGAGCUAAUCCCGGAGCCCGGAGAGGAGGAGGUACCAGCGCAGCAGCCGUUUUCGCAGAGGUUUGGGGGAAGAUGGGACUGUCCUGGCUGUGGUGGAAGAUGGCUGGGUUGGGGAGUAAGACCAGGUAUGCCAACAGAUGCUGUGAUUUGGGACUUGGGGUCGCUUACUCUUUCCGAGCCUUCACUUCCUCACCUGUUGGCCAGGAACCCUGAUGAUGUCCCAGGUCCUGCUAGGCUUGACAUAGAGGCAUCCGUUUGCUGGUGAGGUAGAGGGUGCUGGAAGGUGAGAGUGUAAAGUGCUAUCUGUCAGAGAGUUCAAAGACGAGGCAGAGGAAAAAUGUCAUGAAGAGAAGUUGGAGGUUAGAAAACAGUUUCCUGAAACAAACCCACCCACUGUUACAACCCACCCAGCCACUAGCUCACUCACUCUGCUUCCCAGGCAGGGGUUUUACACUAUUUCUGUCAUGGGAUACAAGGCAGAGCUCUUCUCUAUUCUAAGAGAAGUUUUAUAUUUCUUUGGUUUGGGUUUUGUUGGCAGUUUCUUCUUUCUGAUGAUUUGUUUUGAAUCUAAAAGGGAAGGCAAAUGCUUUGGGCUGCAUAUUUACUGGUUACAUUUCUCGUUUGUUGGAAUGUAUAAUGUCAAGUCUCUCACCCUGAGCAGUUCCUAGUAGGAAAGCGAUCUGUACAACGGAGGCCUCCGCUACCAUGUAUGGGUGGGUGUGUAAGUCUAAUGCACUUAAAAUACACUAAACGUAGGGUACAGAGUACUGUGGAUAGGCCCCCAGAGCUGGGUACAGGACCACGGGCCUGCCCCUCUACCCAAGGGAAUGGCCAGGUCUCAUUUUUCUCAGUAGCAGCCCCUUGAUUAAAGCUGGCAGGCUUUUACAAGCUCCCCAUGCCAUGUAGGGAUGACAUCCUUCCUCCCAGUCUCGGCAUUAUUCUGGCAGCCAGGUGAGCUUGUGUGCAUGGCUGCUGGGAAGGACUUUGUUCCCCUGUCUGAGCCUGGCUACCCGCCCCCCCCAAGCCCAGCAGGGAUGUGUAACAGCGAGCAGCAGGCCUGGGGGACUUGUGAGCUGUUGCCAUGGUCACUCCCCAGCGCAUCCAAGGACAAGUCCCCACAUCCGCUGCGAGACUUCAUUAGAGACAGAGCACCACGUGACCACAAGCCUCAAAUCACUUCGUAAGGACUGUGGCCCGGCCUUGUCCCAUCCUGUCGUUUGGCCCCAUAAGCAGAGCGGAGCUGACCUGUGGCCAAGAGACCAACGUAUUCUUCACACUGAAAUAAAUGCACUGACACCCCAAACGCCA
ensembl:lncRNA